AGUAAUGUAUGGGGAUCUGCCCGAUAGAGGGGGAUAACUACUGGAAACGGUGGCUAAUACCGCAUAAUGUCUACGGACCAAAGCAGGGGCUCUUCGGACCUGCACUAUCGGAUGAACCCAUAUGGGAUUAGCUAGUAGGUGGGGUAAAGGCUCACCUAGGCGACGAUCUCUAGCUGGUCUGAGAGGAUGAUCAGCCACACUGGGACUGAGACACGGCCCAG
rnacentral:rRNA from 1 species